ACAAUGGGGGCAACCCUGAUCUUUCCAUGCCGCGUGUGUGAUGAAGGCCCUAGGGUCGUAAAGCACUUUCGCCAGAGAUGAUAAUGACAGUAUCUGGUAAAGAAACCCCGGCUAACUCCGUGCCAGCAGCCGCGGUAAUACGGAGGGGGUUAGCGUUGUUCGGAAUUACUGGGCGUAAAGCGCACGUAGGCGGAUUAGUAAGUUAGAGGUGAAAUCCCAGGGCUCAACCCUGGAACUGCCUUUAAUACUGCUAGUCUUGAGUUCGAGAGAGGUAAGUGGAAUUCCGAGUGUAGAGGUGAAAUUCGUAGAUAUUCGGAGGAACACCAGUGGCGAAGGCGGCUUACUGGCUCGAUACUGACGCUGAGGUGCGAAAGUGUGGGGAGCAAACAGGAUUAGAUACCCUGGUAGUCCACACCGUAAAC
rnacentral:rRNA from 1 species